AAGUUUGAUGGCGACCGGCGCACGGGUGAGUAACACGUAUCCAACCUGCCGAUGACUCGGGGAUAGCCUUUCGAAAGAAAGAUUAAUACCCGAUGGCAUAGUUCUUCCGCAUGGUGGAACUAUUAAAGAAUUUCGGUCAUCGAUGGGGAUGCGUUCCAUUAGGUUGUUGGCGGGGGUAACGGCCCACCAAGCCUUCGAUGGAUAGGGGUUCUGAGAGGAAGGUCCCCCACAUUGGAACUGAGACACGGUCCAAACUCCUACGGGAGGCAGCAUG
rnacentral:rRNA from 1 species